GCUGGAGUGGCAGAGCCUGGUAAUUGCAGAAGACCUAAGAUCUUUCAAUCAGGGGUUCAAAUCCUCUCCCCAGCU
rnacentral:tRNA from 1 species